CUGGAUUGGAAAGACUUCAUUAUUUCUGAAUGAAUUUGUCGUUUACUUGAAAAUCACAGAAAUAGGGUGCAACAUUCUACAGUAAAAGCUGCAAAAGUUUUGUGCAACAAGAGAAUUAUGGUCUGGAUAACCAUGUGACAUGUCCAAUUAUUGCUUCAUAGAAUGGGAUGCUUGAUCAAUUGGAUGCUUUAACAGGACCACCAUUUAAAUGAAUGUCCAUUUGCACUUUUGCGUGGAUAAGCUACUCUCUGUUCUGUGGAUUUUGACUUGAUUGAUAUUUUUAUUAUGUUUCUCUGCUUAAAGCCUUGAAACCCAGAGAAGCUAAAUUGCUCUUAAUUUGUAUAAACCCCCCCAAGAAAAGUUUGGACCACUCAACACUAAAUGCUGCCAUGAGCUGCUCUAGUGUCGCAGUGCUAAUUGGCAGGACAUGGAUGGAGUUGAACUGCAAUCAGAACUCAAAGAUUGCUUGGAGAGGACCACCAAGGCACCAGAGUACUAGCUUGAAACAGUACAGAAACUGAGGAAACAACAAGUGAAGAAAGGUAAGGUGCUGAAUCUGUUGGAUGAUCUUCUCAAAUAUGCAGCAGCAAAGGGAAGAGAAGGGCAGAGUUGAUGGGUCAAAGUGGCUGCACUCAUUUGGCUCAAAGGGUAUGUCUCUUUAGUCUCAAAAUAGCACACACAAAGAAAGGUCCAAAUUCCAAUAUUUAGUGGCUUUCUUUUCUCUUAAAGAAGAGUGUCUAAUCCAGAAAAAAAAUUCCCUUGUGACGGUUUUGUCCUUUUGCAGUCAAUCACAUUACUAGACUCCAACCAAAGGCAAAAAGAAUAGGAGGAUAGAGUUGAAACCCAGAAAAAAAGUAAUAAUAUCCAUCCAAAAUGCACACCAUCUUCUCCGAAGUUUUUAAAGACAAACCGACACCGCGUUACCUAACCAUUUAUUCCCUUCAGAGCAUCCUUCCAAAUGCUACUCUCCAAUCUCAUUUGGCUUCUUUUCUUCAUCUUCUUCUUCCUUCAAAAAGUCCCUUUGCCUUCACAUCCACCAACUCAAACCUCUAUAGACUAGCCUUGGCUCUUUUCGCCUUGGAUGUUGCUGCUCAUUAGCCGAUUCUCAUUUAUAUAUUGCAUCACCUUGAACCAAUUUAAGUAUAUAACUCAAAAAUUACCUGAACAGCAAAUGCAUAUCUCAUAUAUAUAUAGGACCCCCAACACAGGCCUUGAAAACCAAGUAUAGCCAAACAAUUUUCACACACUAAAUAAGGCCCCCUCUAAUGGGUAGAAAAAAUGGUGAUGCAACUGUGGCUAGCUCCUCAAUAGCACUUCUUCAAGAAAGGUUCAGGGAACUGCAAAGAAUAAGGGAAAGGAGACAGGAGAAAGAACUUCUGAAGCUUUUUUCAGAACCUGAAAGGAGUGCUCCUGCAGGUAUGAAUUUUGAUCCAAGCAAAAUGACCUUCCACCAACCUGAGAUGAUUAGAGCACCGCCCCUUCAAGAUUCUCAUCUCUCCCUUGGACUCAACUCAUUAAGCAGCAACAACCAUGCUGAUAUUAUCAAGACUCCAACAAGCUUAUGGCCCAGCACUGGAAGCUCAUCAAGGAAUUUUGAAAAUUCUGAUGUUGAUACCUCUCUUCAUCUCUAAACACUAGAGGCAUAUAUGCUUAAUUUCCUAUAAUUUUGGAUAUAUAUUUAUAUAUAUAUAUAUCUAUAUAUAUUAUUAUCAUAUAUAUUGUAUGUAUGUCUGUCAAUUAAUUUUGCACAACCUUUUGGCUGUAUAAAAGAUUAGAAGAGUAAUGCAACUAUGUUUCUUCAUA